ACAAGCGGGAGAUUUAAAUGUUCCAUUUCCUGUGGCGAUGUACUCAUAUGGUAUUCCUCAAACCUUGAGAGGCACAGAGAGGAAUUGCUGGGCAUGCAGAAGUGGCUUCCUGUACACUACGAGAUAUAGCCCGUGCAGUAGCUUGUGGAAGAAUAACACUAGAAACUUUGACAUUGUUUAAGCCAGCAGACUCAACGCUGAAAUGGGCAUACAAGACUCACGUGGUGAGGAGAAUCAACUAACUCCUGUGAGUUGCCUGGUGACUUACACAGGUACACAGGAAAUAACUUGGCAGUCAAGCAAACGAAAGAUGACCUAAUGGUUAAUGGCACACGUGGACUCUGUGUAGACUUCUAACAACAACACUCUCGUGGGUGCAGGAAUAAAUGCACACUGCUCAGCAUGGCUGGUGUGCUUCCUGGCUGUCAUCCCUAUUCUCGUAUCCAGUCUUCCGAGAUACUUUCCUUUCCUUGAGCGGCAAGCAAGCCACGCCUCACAGGAACCAUCACUGACUGGC